GAUGAACGCUGGCGGCGUGCCUAAUACAUGCAAGUCGAGCGAAUGGACUAAGAGCUUGCUCUUAUGAAGUUAGCAGCGGACGGGUGAGUAACACGUGGGUAACCUGCCCAUAAGACUGGGAUAACUCCGGGAAACCGGGGCUAAUACCGGAUAACAUUUUGAACCGCAUGGUUCGAAAUUGAAAGGCGGCUUCGGCUGUCACUUAUGGAUGGACCCGCGUCGCAUUAGCUAGUUGGUGAGGUAACGGCUCACCAAGGCAACGAUGCGUAGCCGACCUGAGAGGGUGAUCGGCCACACUGGGACUGAGACACGGCCCAGACUCCUACGGGAGGCAGCAGUAGGGAAUCUUCCGCAAUGGACGAAAGUCUGACGGAGCAACGCCGCGUGAGUGAUGAAGGCUUACGGGUCGUAAAACUCUGUUGUUAGGGAAGAACAAGUGCUAGUUGAAUAAGCUGGCACUUUGACGGUACCUAACCAGAAAGCCACGGCUAACUACGUGCCAGCCGCCGCCGUAA
rnacentral:rRNA from 1 species